CCUGAACUGUGGGCCUGCCCUGGAAAAUUGUUGAUAUCCCCAGUGAGUGGUACUGCAUUGCCAGAAACUGGUUUUCCCAUUGCCAGCAACCAUUCAUUGCAAAGAGCUUCUAGGUUAGGGGUGGGGCCCUGUGUCCACUUGCCGCCCUUAGGUACACUGGUCUCUAUUCGAUACCAUCUGCAGCCAGCCAGCUUACCCACUUUUAAGGACCCAUAUCAAAUGUCUGGGCUGUGAGGUGGUAGGUGGUGAAGGUUAUCCAGGAAAAAUGUGUUUCUGAUGAGUGCGGUUGUAACUCUCCUAACUCUGACGAUGACGACUUUAGGGCUGGGUCACAGGUCAGUGCAGAGCACCUGUCCUGCUUAAUCCACAGCAUCACAAAGACAAGAAAGAAAGAAAAGAAAAAGGGACGAAUUGGCCUUACCAUUCCAGAAGACUUUGUAAAAGUGUCUGCAACACCUUCAGAAUGGACUGGAAGUUUCAUUUCCACAUCUAGAAAUUUCUGGUCUGAUAACUAUGUCUCACCGGCACCUUUGAGGACAGCAGUCUUCUCUUCUGUGCUCUCCCUGUUAGUUCACAGCACUGUGUGUGUGUAGGACCAGGACUUGCAGGGCUUGAGCACUGCUUCCCCAGGACAAAGUCCAGCUGCCUUAGCUGUGGUGCUCCUCUGGGUCCCUCACACAAUGGCCACUGUCAUCCAGAACACUCCCUUGGGGGAGGGGGUCAAGCAACUUGAGGGAGGAGUGAGGGGAGGACUCAUGAUUUCCAUGAGUCCAGAGCCUUCAUUCCACCUGCAAGCCCGUGCCAGUCCCCGUCCUCCUCUCCAAAGAAAAAGAAGGCAGAGUCUGGACUAAGUGUGGUGGAAUUCUGAGUCUGGGUGGAAAGAAGCAGGACAGUUUCAACUCACCAGCAGAAGAGAGACCAUUGCCCUCUCCAGCUAACCCAAAGGCUUGCCACCCCAGUACCUGGACUGUCUCCUGCUGCUAUCUUCCCUUCAGUCUUGCUGGCAAAGACAGGUAAUGUGAGAGAGCCUAGCCUGCAGGUGUUUCUUCCAUUGACCUGCAGAAAUUAUAUGUCUCCCCUCAUGUAUACAUUGAUAAAAUAAAUUGCCAAGCUCAAUACUAGCAAGG
ensembl:lncRNA